UCCUCUGUAGUUCAGUCGGUAGAACGGCGGAUUGUUAAUCCGUAUGUCACUGGUUCGAGUCCAGUCAGAGGAGCCA
rnacentral:tRNA from 2 species